UACGGAGGGAGCUAGCGUUGUUCGGAAUUACUGGGCGUAAAGCGCACGUAGGCGGCUUUGUAAGUUAGAGGUGAAAGCCCGGGGCUCAACUCCGGAACUGCCUUUAAGACUGCAUCGCUUGAAUCCAGGAGAGGUGAGUGGAAUUCCGAGUGUAGAGGUGAAAUUCGUAGAUAUUCGGAAGAACACCAGUGGCGAAGGCGGCUCACUGGACUGGCAUUGACGCUGAGGUGCGAAAGCGUGGGGAGCAACAGG
rnacentral:rRNA from 1 species